ACGAACGCUGGCGGCACGCUUAACACAUGCAAGUCGAACGAGAGAAGAGGAGCUUGCUUUUCUGAUCUAGUGGCGGACGGGUGAGUAACACGUGAGCAAUCUGCCUUUCAGAGGGGGAUACCGAUUGGAAACGAUCGUUAAUACCGCAUAACAUAAUUGAACCGCAUGAUUUGAUUAUCAAAGAUUUAUCGCUGAAAGAUGAGCUCGCGUCUGAUUAGCUAGUUGGUAAGGUAACGGCUUACCAAGGCGACGAUCAGUAGCCGGACUGAGAGGUUGAUCGGCCACAUUGGGACUGAGACACGGCCCAGACUCCUACGGGAGGCAGCAGUGGGGAAUAUUGCACAAUGGAGGAAACUCUGAUGCAGCGAUGCCGCGUGAGGGAAGAAGGUUUUAGGAUUGUAAACCUCUGUCUUCAGGGACGAAAAAAGACGGUACCUGAGGAGGAAGCUCCGGCUAACUACGUGCCAGCAGCCGCGGUAAUACGUAGGGAGCGAGCGUUGUCCGGAAUUACUGGGUGUAAAGGGAGCGUAGGCGGGAUCGCAAGUCAGAUGUGAAAACUAUGGGCUUAACCCAUAAACUGCAUUUGAAACUGUGGUUCUUGAGUGAAGUAGAGGUAAGCGGAAUUCCUAGUGUAGCGGUGAAAUGCGUAGAUAUUAGGAGGAACAUCAGUGGCGAAGGCGGCUUACUGGGCUUUAACUGACGCUGAGGCUCGAAAGCGUGGGGAGCAAACAGGAUUAGAUACCCUGGUAGUCCACGCCGUAAACGAUGAUUACUAGGUGUGGGGGGACUGACCCCUUCCGUGCCGCAGCAAACGCAAUAAGUAAUCCACCUGGGGAGUACGACCGCAAGGUUGAAACUCAAAGGAAUUGACGGGGGCCUGCACAAGCAGUGGAGUAUGUGGAUUAAUUCGAAGCAACGCGAAGAACCUUACCAGGUCUUGACAUCGUAUGCAUAGCUCAGAGAUGAGUGAAAUCUCUUCGGAGACAUAUAGACAGGUGGUGCAUGGUUGUCGUCAGCUCGUGUCGUGAGAUGUUGGGUUAAGUCCCGCAACGAGCGCAACCCUUACUGUUAGUUGCUACGCAAGAGCACUCUAGCAGGACUGCCGUUGACAAAACGGAGGAAGGUGGGGAUGACGUCAAAUCAUCAUGCCCCUUAUGACCUGGGCCUCACACGUACUACAAUGGCUGUCAACAGAGGGAAGCAAAGCCGCGAGGUGGAGCAAACCCCUAAAAGCAGUCUUAGUUCGGAUUGUAGGCUGCAACCCGCCUACAUGAAGUCGGAAUUGCUAGUAAUCGCAGAUCAGCAUGCUGCGGUGAAUACGUUCCCGGGCCUUGUACACACCGCCCGUCACGCCAUGGGAGUCGGUAACACCCGAAGCCUGUAGUCUAACCGCAAGGAGGACGCAGUCGAAGGUGGGAUUGAUGACUGGGGUG
rnacentral:rRNA from 1 species